UAAUUCUACUGUAACUGGUCCCACCACAUCAGUUAGCCAUAUCGAUCUAAGUCUAUUCCGAUAUAAACUAAGUUGGAUGCUUAUUGAUUUUAUGUUUUAUCCUUUUAGUAAAAAAUUAACUAUACCAUAUAACGUCAAGUUUAAUAGUAACACAGAAUAUAUACAUGAGUUACUUCAAAUAUAUCAGAAAGAAAUAGAAAAAGGAAUAAUUAAUCAUUAUAUUUCUGUUACUCCUCACUUUUAUAUAAUUAAUUUUAGAUGGUAUGAUGACAUUUUAUGGAUAUUAGUUCGCUAUGUUUAUUAUAUAUUAAUGUCGUAUAAAAUAUAUGGAAUACCACAAUAUUAUGUAGAGGCUUAUCUGUGUGUUCCAUUAAGCGUAGGUUACAAUGAUUUACGUUGUACUACUAGUAUUACUACAGCUAGCAUUAAUAGUAAUACGAAUGAAUGUAAAUCCUAUAACAGUAAUUCAAUCAGUGGUCGUAAUAAUAACUUAAGCAAUUCAACUAUAAAACGAUUGUUAAAUAUAAAAAAAUUAAAAAACAAAAAUCUUAACUUGAAUAAUUGUAAUAAUAGUUUUAAUAAUAAAAAUGUAACUAAUACAGAUUCUUACAUUUUCUCAAAUGAAUAUCUUUUAAAAAUAUUUGAAAAAAUUAAUGAAUUAGAUUAUAUUUUUUGUAAAUUAAUUAAUUUUUGUCGUUUAUACCUAAACGGUAUUUUACCUUUUGUUUUUUCCAAAAUAAAUACAGUACAUUAUGGUAUAUUAUCAGCUGAACAAAUAAAUAAAUGUCAAAUAAUUAUGAGUAAAAGUAGAUACUUUUUAGCAGUACCUUAUAUAGGGAAAGACACACCAUCCAACAUGUCCGAGUUUACCAACGUUGAUGUUGUUGUUUCUUUGACCAUUCUAUCCUAUAGAUAUCAAGGCAUGCGAUAUUUUGAUUUUAUUCUUGCACUCAAAAAUAUUUUAUAUAUAUAUACAAUGGAAAAAGAUGCGCAACAUAUUAAAAAAAGCGACACAGAUAACAGUUCAGAGUAUUCAGAGGACAACGCAAGAAUAACCAAUAGUGAUGAUCUACGAAAAAAGAAAACUCAAAAAAAGAAAAAGUUACUCAAGCGAAAUAACAAAAUGGGAAAAAUAAUGAUAGAUGCUAUUACUUAUGGUGAUGAUACUGUUUCUAAUAAUGCACAUGUGGGGAAAAAAUUAUAUGUUAAUGAACAAAACUGUGAAGUAAAAAAUUGGAGGGGAAAAACUGUAGGUGUUAAUCAAAAUAUAACUACAACAGAGGCAAAUACAUUAAAUAAUAAUGAUACUUAUUUUGGUAAAAAUGAAAUCACUCAAGUGAAUAAGCAAAAUGUUUACCAUGAGAAGAUUCACGCAGGUGGAAAAGACAUGUAUCGAAGUGGCUCUUACGACAGUAGUACAAACGGUAGUAGUACAAACGAAGGUAGUACAAACGAAGGUAGUACAAACGGAGGUAGUACAAACGAAGGUAGUACAAACAAAGGUAGUACAAACGAAGGU
rnacentral:lncRNA from 1 species